UGGGGAAUAUUGCACAAUGGGCGCAAGCCUGAUGCAGCCAUGCCGCGUGUAUGAAGAAGGCCUUCGGGUUGUAAAGUACUUUCAGUCGGGAGGAAGGCGGUAAGGUUAAUAACCUUAUCAAUUGACGUUACCGACAGAAGAAGCACCGGCUAACUCCGUGCCAGCAGCCGCGGUAAUACGGAGGGUGCAAGCGUUAAUCGGAAUUACUGGGCGUAAAGCGCACGCAGGCGGUUGAUUGAGUCAGAUGUGAAAUCCCCGGGCUUAACCCGGGAAUUGCAUCUGCUACUGGUCAGCUAGAGUCUUGUAGAGGGGGGUAGAAUUCCAUGUGUAGCGGUGAAAUGCGUAGAGAUGUGGAGGAAUACCGGUGGCGAAGGCGGCCCCCUGGACAAAGACUGACGCUCAGGUGCGAAAGCGUGGGGAGCAAACAGG
rnacentral:rRNA from 1 species